GGCACUGGCCAGCGGCCUCCCGUCUCGUUCGCAUCGAGAAGGUCAGGGGUUCGAUUCCCCUUAGCUCCA
rnacentral:tRNA from 1 species